GACGAACGCUGGCGGCGUGCUUAACACAUGCAAGUCGAACGGAAAGGCCUCAGCUUGCUGGGGUACUCGAGUGGCGAACGGGUGAGUAACACGUGGGUGAUCUGCCUUGCACUUUGGGAUAAGCUUAGGUAACUGGGUCUAAUAUCGGAUAUGAACCGCCCUUCGUGUGGUGGUUGGAGAGUUUUUUCGGUGCCAGGUUAGCUCGCGGCCUAUCAGCUUGUUGGUGGGGUCAUGGCCUACCAAGGCGUCGACGGGUAGCCGGCCUGAGAGGGUGUACGGCCACAUUGGGACUGAGGUACGGCCCAGACGCCGAAGGGAGGCAGAAGGGGGGAAGAUUGCACAAUCGGCGGCAGGCGGAUGCAGCGACGCCGCGGGGGGGAAGACGGCCUUCGGGUUAGAAACACGUUUCGGCAGGGACGAAGCUUGUUGUGACGGUACCUGUAUAAGAAGCACCGGCUAACUACGUG
rnacentral:rRNA from 1 species